rfam:Schistosoma mansoni, Puerto Rico, WGS project CABG01000000 data, contig: 0154
GCACUGCUGAGACGUCCCAUAAUAGAACGAAACGGCCGUCCAGUGC